UAGGGAAUCUUCGGCAAUGGGGGGAACCCUGACCGAGCAACGCCGCGUGCGUGAAGAAGGUUUUCGGAUCGUAAAGCUCUGUUGUUAAGGAAGAACGAGUGUGAGAAUGGAAAGUUCAUACUGUGACGGUACUUAACCAGAAAGGGACGGCUAACUACGUGCCAGCAGCCGCGGUAAUACGUAGGUCCCGAGCGUUGUCCGGAUUUAUUGGGCGUAAAGCGAGCGCAGGCGGUCAAUUAAGUCUGAUGUGAAAGCCCCCGGCUCAACCGGGGAGGGUCAUUGGAAACUUGUUGACUUGAGUGCAGAAGAGGAGAGUGGAAUUCCAUGUGUAGCGGUGAAAUGCGUAGAUAUAUGGAGGAACACCAGUGGCGAAGGCGACUCUCUGGUCUGUAACUGACGCUGAGGUUCGAAAGCGUGGGUAGCAAACAGG
rnacentral:rRNA from 1 species